rnacentral:rRNA from 1 species
CAACAGGGAUUCCCUUAGUAAGGGCGACUGAACAGGGAAGAGCCCAGCGCAGAAGCUCGUGUCCCCAACGGGCACGAGCGGUGUUGCGUUCCGGAGGGUCCAGCACGUCGUCCCAUACCGCCUAAGUCAAGCUUGAACGCGGCCACUACCCAUGGAGGGUGACAGGCCCGUAUGGCGGCGCCCGCAAGGGCACAGAUGGGGCGGUCGGAAAGGACUUUUCUCCGUAGAGUCGGGUUGCUUGAAAGUGCAGCCCAAAGUAGGUGGUAAACUCCAUCUAAGGCUAAAUAUGACCACGAGACCGAUAGCGAACAAG